UUGUAUAAGGAGAUUUAUUAUCUUACGCUGCAUUGUAUGAAAGAAAAUACUGUUUGACUCUGUGUCUUGAUGUAACACUGAUCCGCUGCCUGAAUACAUAAGCAGCAUGUAUAAUGAAUGAAUGUCCCAUUGUGUGGUUGACUGCAUGACUGAUUCGCUUGUACGCUGACUGACCGACUGACUAAAAGUGACUAGCUGACUGGCUGAGUGACUGGCGGUGUUCCUUUACCUUCGACAAACUUAAUUGUUGCCUGAAUGCAUGAGAGGUUGGGUGACUGACCAUGACUUAUCAACGACAUGAAUUACUGAUUUACUGCCGCCUCACUGCCUGGCCACAUCACUGCCUAGUCUUAUCGACCGCGCAACCGGCUGGCUGGGAGGCCGCCUAUCCAUCACACACACAGAGGAACAUUGACAAAUAUUCACAAAAACUGAACGAAAGACACGACUAAAAGCUGAAUUUUUGAAGGAGAACAAGUAUUUUUUACACCACACAUUCCGAAACUGUUCAAGGUCCCCAUGGCGCAGUGGAUAGCGCGCUGGACUUCUAAUCCAGAGGUCGCGGGUUCGAAUCCCGCUGGGGAUGAAAAUUUAGUUCGGCUGCGCUAAAAAUUAUGGACUUGGGCUGAGAGAUUAUUUAGAGUGCUGCUCCUUGAGUGCCCGUGCUUGCUUCAGAGUUACGGGGUUAAGUGAGGAGAGGCGGUAGGCAAUGCUCAGGUGUCAAGGAUGAGGUGAUAUUGGCAAACACUCCUUCAUAUACUAGUAAUGGUGAUGAAACUGGAAUUUUACGUAAAGGUGAUCUAGAGCACCUCUCUCUCUCUCUCUCUCUCUGUACUCUCAACUCUACUUUUACAUCCAAGGCUUCCCCAUAGUUUUCUUCCCUCUCCGUCAUUUAGUAGAGAGUAGUCAUUCAUUAACUAUAGUUGCAUGUCUUAUUGUUACGUUUUCUCUCGCUUUCUUCCCCAGAAUCUUCACGGCUCGCGUCCUUUCCGUGACACGCGUGCAUUAGGUACAAACUGCUGCUCUCCACUGCAUCACGAAGCACGAGGCCUCGAACACCCACCCACCUUGCCAAUGCCACCAGACACCUGUAAUUAGCCAAGGACGUUCAGACUAGCGAAGGAGGCCGGUAAGGGUGGCAUGCUUUCUGUCAGAGGCCUGUAGGUGAGGUUCUGCGCGUCCUCCGGGAAGCAGAUGUUGAGGCGGCGGAACACCCCUUGCUGGUCGCCGCCCACCCAGUCCAUCCUCUCGCUGGCACAGAACUGGAUCAGCGCCACUAGGUACGUCAGCACGAGGCCAGAGAUGGUGACGAAGGUGGAGCUGGACAGGCUGUGGAUGGGAGAAGGAAGGCUGUGAAUGAGAGUAGGAGGAAGGAGAUUAUGAUGCGGUUGUAGGUGAUGAUGCUUGGUGCUUUUCUUGGUUGUUUGACUGAUUGGUGAAGGCAGUAUGACACUUGUCGCUUAGUGUGAGUAACCUUUGAUUAUUUCACUGAGGAAGAACAGAACUGCAAGAACUAAUUAUUCGAUCAUUUAUUUUGG